GGGCCAGUGGAGUGUGUCUGGGUCAGCUGAGUGCCUAUAUCAAAGCUCCCAGCCUUGAAAAAGACACCCUGUUCCCAGGCCUCAAGAUAUUGAAACAUCAAUUAGAUAAUUUAAAGUAGGGUUUUCUUCUACAAUGUCUGAAGAAGUGACCUACGCAACACUCACAUUUCAGGAUUAUGCUGGAGCAAGGAAUAACCGACAUGGAAAUAACCUAAGAAAAAAAGGGCAUCCAGCUCCAUCUCCCAUUUGGCGUCAUGCUGCCCUGGGUCUGCUAACUCUUUGCCUGAUGUUGCUGAUUGGGCUGGUGACCUUGGGGAUGAUGUUUUUGCAGAUAUCUAAUGACAUUAACUCAGAUUCAGAGAAAUUGAGUCAACUUCAGAAAACCAUCCACCAGCAGCAGGAUAACUUAUCUCAGCAACUGGGCAACUCCAAUAACUUGUCCAUAGAGGAGGAAUUUCUCAAGUCACAGAUCUCCAGUCUACUGAAGAGGCAGGAACAAAUGGCCAUCAAACUGUGCCAAGAGCUAAUCAUUCAUGCUUCAGACCACAGAUGUAAUCCAUGUCCUAAAAUGUGGCAAUGGUACCAAAAUAGUUGCUAUUAUUUUACAACAAAUGAAGAGAAAACCUGGACUAACAGUAGAAAGGACUGCAUAGACAAGAACUCCACCCUAGUGAAGAUAGACACUUUGGAAGAAAAGGAUUUUCUUAUGUCACAGCCAUUACUGAUGUUUUCAUUCUUUUGGCUAGGAUUAUCAUGGGACUCCUCUGGCAGAAGUUGGUUCUGGGAAGAUGGCUCUGUUCCCUCUCCAUCCUUGUACGUCUCUAACUAUUGAGGGUAAACACAAGUUUUCCAUGGAAUCCUGGGAAAAUUAAUAAUGAUUGUGAGAAUUAUAAACACAGACAUAAAAAGAGGAGUACAACAUACUGAGAAAAGAGCUCCAGUAACAAAUAUUGAAAGGAGAUUUAGUACUAAAGAACUGGACCAGAUCAAUGGAUCCAAAGGAUGUGCUUAUUUUCAAAAAGGAAAUAUUUAUAUUUCUCGCUGUAGUGCCGAAAUUUUUUGGAUUUGCGAGAAGACGGCCGCCCCAGUGAAGACUGAGGAUUUGGAUUAGUAUGCUUCUUCCAAAUUCUCCAAGAAGUAAGAGACUUGGAGAGGAAAGAGGAAACCACGGUACCAGAGCCAAAACCAGCUUUUAAAAUGACUCUGUAUUUACAUCAUCAGACAAAUGAACUUGUUUAACAAACGUUCUCCAGUUCCUUGUCUGACAUCUUCUGAUUUGAUAUUAUUAUUGGGUCUUACAAUUAUCCCUGGGGACUAAGGGGAAUAGCCACACUAUGGCUUUAUGAUUGUCUCAAAAUCAUUUCACUGAAUUUCUUUGCCU